rnacentral:rRNA from 1 species
GACGUAGGGCGCGAGCGUUGUCCGGAUUUAUUGGGCGUAAAGAGCUCGUAGGCGGCUCGUUGCGUCGGCUGUGAAAACCCGCAGCUCAACCGUGGGCUUGCAGCUGAUACGGGCGGGCUGGGAUUCGGUAGGGGAGACUGGAAUUCCUGGUGUAGCGGUGAAAUGCGCAGAUAUCAGGAGGAACACCGGUGGCGAAGGCGGGUCUCUGGGCCGAUAUCGACGCUGAGGAGCGAAAGCGUGGGGAGCGAACAGG